rnacentral:rRNA from 1 species
CCUACGGGAGGCUGCAGUGAGGAAUAUUGGUCAAUGGACGCAAGUCUGAACCAGCCAUGCCGCGUGCAGGAAGACGGCCCUAUGAGUUGUAAACUGCUUUUGUACGGGGGUAAACUCAGACACGCGUAUCUUUCUGAAAGUAUCGUACGAAUAAGGAUCGGCUAACUCCGUGCCAGCAGCCGCGGUAAUACGGAGGAUUCAAGCGUUAUCCGGAUUUAUUGGGUUUAAAGGGUGCGUAGGUGGUCGGAUAAGUUAGAGGUGAAAUCCCGAGGCUCAACUUCGGAAUUGCAGCUGAUACUGUCAGGCUAGAGAGUAGUAGCGGUAGGCGGAAUGUAUGGUGUAGCGGUGAAAUGCUUAGAGAUCAUACAGAACACCGAUUGCGAAGGCAGCUUAC